AGACUUUUUAACUAUAAGUUAAGUAUAUAUUUUGAAAAUAUAAAAAAGAAAUCUUCUAAAAGUCUU
rnacentral:tRNA from 1 species